rnacentral:rRNA from 1 species
UACAUAGGUGGCAAGCGUUGUUCGGAAUUACUGGGCGUAAAGGGCGCGUAGGCGGCCCGUCAAGUCCCGUGUGAAAGCCCCCGGCUCAACCGGGGAACGGCGCGGGAAACUAGCAGGCUUGAGUUCGGGAGAGGGAAGCGGAAUUCCGGGUGUAGCGGUGAAAUGCGCAGAUAUCCGGAGGAACACCGGUGGCGAAGGCGGCUUCCUGGACCGACACUGACGCUGAGGCGCGAAAGCUAGGGGAGCAAACGGG